rnacentral:rRNA from 1 species
CACGUAGGGGGGCAAGCGUUGUCCGGAUUUAUUGGGCGUAAAGAGCUCGUAGGCGGCUGAGUAAGUCAGGUGUUAAAUCCCCCAGGCUCAACCUGGGACGCCACCUGAUACUGCUCUGGCUAGAGUCCGGUAGGGGAGCGUGGAAUUCCUGGUGUAGCGGUGAAAUGCGCAGAUAUCAGGAGGAACACCAGCGGCGAAGGCGGCGCUCUGGGCCGGAACUGACGCUGAGGAGCGAAAGCGUGGGUAGCAAACAGG